UUCGCUAGAUGUUACGAAAUGUAAGGUAUGGAAUACGGCACUCAAAAAUGCACAGGUAAGUAUACCAUCUUGUGAAAGUCAAAACAAGGCUGGAGGCCUGGGUUUUAUACCACCGUUAUAACUACGACAAUGUCAUAUCUCACUGGCAAUUAGUUUCACUUUCGAAUUAUACAUAUAUUUUGGCCAUGAAUGAGAGCCAUAUUCAAAAUUAACCUUUAUGUUUAGAAUGCGAUGCAGGUUUCCAAGGUGACUACUGUCAGAUGGCCUGUCGUUAUCCUAACUACGGAAAUAAAUGUCAAAUGUGGUGUAACUGCGAGCAAUGGGACUGCAGUUUUGUUACUGGAUGUGAGGAUGGGUCACCAACGAUUUCACCAAACACAACGAUUUCACCAGCAUGUCGCUCUCGUUACACCGGGUCUGACUGUGAAUUACCAUGUCGGUAUCCAGGUUACGGGGUCAGUUGUCAGUUACAGUGUGAAUGCGAGAAGGAUCUUUGUCAUCAUGUGAAUGGAUGUGAAAGUACGUGUAUCCCUAAUAUUGCGGAUGUUGACCAUGAAGAAGUUGUGGCGGAACAAAUGGUGAAUUGGAGACAUGGGAGGAGAGUUGUGGAAUUAGGGGUGUUGGCAGAUGCUCUAAAGGCCUGUCUAAACUGUGGAAUGCCAUUGCAGCUCACUCAUGCUGUUGAUAUCCAGACUUAUGGACUAUCGGCUAUCAUUAAGAUACCUUGUUCAAAUACUUGUUGUCAAUACCUGAACAAUGUGCCCACAGGAAAGAAACAUGGAAGAGUGUGGGAUGCAAACACAAAACUAGCAGCUGCAAUGGUUCACUCAGGAUUGGGAGAGAGACAAGUUAAUAGCUUUCUUUCAUCACUAAAUAUACCAGCAGUCAGCCACAAAACCAUUUCCCCUCGCCAGACAGAAAUGGGAACUAUAGUCCAGUCCGUGGCCAGUGAAUCUACAGAAAUGGCACUAAUGGAAGAGAGAAUUAACAGAGAAGAACACAAGAAAGGAUGGCUUAGUUGUUAGUGUUGAUGCUUGUUGGCAGAAAAGAGGGAGUGGGAGAUCAUAUAACAGUUUGUCAGGACAUUCAUCAAUGAUAGGGACACUCUCUGGAAAAAUAGUCAAUUUCUCAACAAGGUCCAAAUCUUGUCAUAUAUACACUCUUUCCCUUAACUCGAAAUCAUCACCUCCCCCACAUUAGUGUAGCAUCAACUGGCAUGGAAGUGCAAAAGGGAUGGAAAGUGACAUGAUAGCAGAGAUGGUUAAGGAUGUAAAUGAUGGACUUGUCUGCAUAAAAGCCAUUGUUGGUGAUGAGGAUAGUACCACAAUAUCUGGGCUUCGGGCAAACAUUGACAAACAUAUUGGAAAAAUAUCUGAUGCAAAUCAUGUGAAAAAAAUAUCUGGGAACUCUGUGAAGAAGGAGCACAAAUCCUUAACAUUCAAAGUUAUUCAGUACCUGCAAAGAUGUUUCAACCACAUUCUUGCACAAGGAAAAGGAGAUGCUACAAGGAUAGGCCUCAAUCUUAAAGGUCUCGCCUUUCAUCCAUUUGGAGACCACAGUCUUUGUUCUUCUAGCUGGUGUCGAUUUUUAGAAAAUCCAAAAGAAAAGUACGUUCAACCUCUGAUAUGUACAGGGCUUGAUGUUUGCUCAACUCUUACUUUUGUAUUCCUUAUAGGAGCUAUGAGAUUGAUUACUGUUCGCUAUAUUCACCUUUUCUUAUAUGCAAAUUUAAGACCAUAUGGCUGUUUUU